rnacentral:RNase_P_RNA from 1 species
CAAGUAAGACAUGCAAUCGCUGCUAGACUUGAUCUAGGAGAGGAAAGUCGGAGCUCCACAGGGCAGGGUGCUGGAUAACGUCCAGUCAAGGCGACUUGAAGGAAAGUGCAACAGAGAGAUACCGCCUUAAUAUUAAGGUAAGGGUGGAAAGGUGAGGUAAGAGCUCACCAGCAUCAUGGUGACAUGGUGGCUAUGUAAACCCCACCUGGAGCAAGGCCGAAUAGGGAGACAUUAUGGAGUUGCCCGCUCCGUCUCCGGGUGUGCCGCUUGAGCUUAUUGGUAACAAUAAGCCUAGAUAGAUGAUUGCUUAAUACAGAACUCCGCUUACGGCUUGCUUGCAAC